rnacentral:rRNA from 1 species
CUAAACUGGUGUCAGCGGCUGGGGGAAUACGGAGGGGGGGAGCGUUAAACGGAAUUACUGGGCGUAAAGUGAGUGUAUGUGGCUCAUUAAGUCACAUGUGAAAUCCCCGGGCUUAACCUGGGAACUGCAUGUGAUACUGGUGGUGCUAGAAUAUGUGAGAGGGAAGUAGAAUUCCAGGUGUAGCGGUGAAAUGCGUAGAGAUCUGGAGGAAUACCGAUGGCGAAGGCAGCUUCCUGGCAUAAUAUUGACACUGAGAUUCGAAAGCGUGGGUAGCAAACAGGAUUAGAUACCCUAGUAGUC